GCGGGUGUGGCGGAAUUGGUAGACGCGCCAGACUUAGGAUCUGGUGCCUUCGGGCAUGGGGGUUCGAGUCCCUCCAUCCGCA
rnacentral:tRNA from 1 species